AUGCGCGUGCGCAUGGUGGCCCGUGCUGUCCGGGCUGGCCUUCUCACUGCUGGGGACUCCUCUUUCACCUCUGCUGUCCGGGUCCGAGUCCUGGGCCGUCUCUUUGUGCUUGCUGGCCUGUCCACUGGUUCUGGUUGUGGAGAACUGCACAGCACUUCUGUGGUCUUCUCAUCAUCUGUGAGUGCCUCCAUGGGGCCUGGUGCUGGGACUGGUUCUGUGAGGCCAGCCCAGUCCUCCCGGGGCUGGGUCUUCUGCUCAGGCACCCCUCGGCGCCUCUUGCUGCCCGCUCCACCGGCAGUGGGAUUCAGCUUCCGCUUCACAGGUUCCUUGAUCACUUUGACAUUUUUACUGUCCCCUUCAGGUUCCUGGGGUGUGUGCAUGGGUCGCCCUGAUGUCGCUGUCACCUCUCCCUGCACUGGCAGCUCUUGGGUCAUAGGUGCUCUCCUGAGUCUCGCCCUGAGCUGUCUCUCUGAGGGUGCUGGAGUUUCCAUGGGUUCUGGCUGUGGAGGCUUACGGGCUAUUUUUCUGUUUUUUUCUUCACUUGUUGGUCCCUCAGGGGGGCCUGGUGCUGGGAUUGGUCCUUUGGAGCCAGCCAGGUGCUCCAGGGGCUGGGCCCUGCCCUCAGGUGCCCCUCGCAGCCUCCUGCUGCCUGCUGCUCUUGCUGCUGGGGCCAGAGUCUGCUGUGCAGGCUCCUCAAAAUCUCCGCUGCCCUGGUCCUCACCUCCUGGUGCUCUGCGCAUGCGCGUGCGCGUGGUGGCCCGUGCUGUCCGGGCUGGCCUUCUCACUGCUGGGGACUCCUCUUUCACCUCUGCUGUCCGGGUCCGAGUCCUGGGCCGUCUCUUUGUGCUUGCUGGCCUGUCCACUGGUUCUGGUUGUGGAGAACUGCACAGCACUUCUGUGGUCUUCUCAUCAUCUGUGAGUGUCUCCGUGGGGCCUGGUGCUGGGAAGAGCUCUUGGAAGCCAGCCAGGUCCUCCAGGGACUCAGCCUUUUCCUUAGGUGCCCCUCGGAGCCUCUUGCUGCCAGUUACUUUUUCUGCUUCGUCCAGUUUCCGCUUUGCAGGUUUUAACAUCUUAACCCCUUUAUUACCACCUGGGCAUUCUUCCUGGAUGGGUACAGUUUCUCCUAAGGUUUGCUUUAGUUUUAUCCCUGGUGAGAGCUCUUCUUUCACCUCCACUUUCCCCACAUCUGUCUUGGACCGUCUCUUUGUGCUUGCUGAUGCUCUGACUGGUUCUGGUUCUGUAGAUCUGCAAGGUGUAUCUGUGGCUUCUCCAGCAGUCUUUGGGUCCUUGUACUGGCCUGGGGUUUGGAAGAGCUCUUGGAAGCCAGCCAGGUCCUCCAGGGGCUGGGACUUUUCCUUAGGUGUCCGUGGUUGUCUCUUAAGUCCAGUUAAAUCUGCUGAGUUCGCCUUCUUUCUUGGAGUUCCCGUGAGUGCUCUGCCCUUCUCUUCUUGUGCUGGUCCCGUGGGUGUGUGCGUGGCUCUGCCUGGGGACUGUGACAGUUUCCUGAGUGCUGACAGCUCUUCCUUCACCUCCACUUUCUGCAGACUUGUCCUUGGCCGUCUCUUUACAGGUGUUAGAGUAUCCCCAGAUACUGGUUCUGUAGAUCUGCAAGGUGUACCUGUGGUCUCUCCAGCAUUCUCUGGGUCCUUGCCACGGCCUGGAGUCUGA
ensembl:lncRNA